AUUGAACGCUGGCGGCAGGCCUAACACAUGCAAGUCGAGCGGUUGAAGGGAUCUUGCUCCUGUAUUCAUCGGCGGACGGGUGAGUAAUGCCUAGCAAUCUGCCUGCUAGUGGGGGAUAACUUCCGGACCCGGUCGCUAAUUCCCCAUACGUCCUGAGGCAGAAUGUGUGGGAUCUUCGGACCUCACGCUAUCAGAUUAGCCUAGGUCGGAUUAUCUGGUUGGUGGGGUAAAGGCCUACCAAGGCGACGUUCCGUAACUGGUCUGAGAGGAUGAUCAGUCACAAUGGAAGUGAGAAAAGGUGCAGAAGCCUACGAGAGGAAGCAGUGGGGAAGAAUAGAGAAUGGGCGAAAGACUGAUGAAGCCAUGACGCGUGUGUGAAGAAGGUGUUCGGAUUGUAAAGAACUUUAAGUUGGGAGGAAGGGCAGUAAGUUAAUACCUGGCUGUGUUGACGUUACCAACAGAAUAAGCACCGGCUAACUUCGUG
rnacentral:rRNA from 1 species